rnacentral:rRNA from 1 species
UAACAAGGAUUCCCCUAGUAACUGCGAGUGAAGCGGGAAAAGCUCAAAUUUAAAAUCUGGCGGUCUUUGGCCGUCCGAGUUGUAGUCUGGAGAAGCGUCUUCCGCGUUGGACCGUGUACAAGUCUCUUGGAACAGAGCGUCAUAGAGGGUGAGAAUCCCGUCUUUGACACGGACUACCAAUGCUUUGUGAUGCGCUCUCAAAGAGUCGCGUUGUUUGGGAAUGCAGCGCAAAAUGGGAGGUGAAUUCCUUCUAAAGCUAAAUAUUGGCGAGAGACCGAUAGCGAACAAGUACCGUGAGGGAAAGAUGAAAAGCACUUUGGAAAGAGAGUUAAACAGUACGUGAAAUUGCUAAAAGGGAAACGCUUGAAGUCAGUCGCGUCGUCCGGAACUCAGCUUUGCUUCGGCUUAGUGCACUUUCCGGUUGACGGGCCAGCAUCGAUUUUGACCGCUGGAAAAGGGCUGGAGGAAUGUGGCACCUUCGGGUGUGUUAUAGCCUUCAGUCGCAUACAGCGGUUGGGAUCGAGGAACGCAGCGCGCCUUAUGGCUGGGGUUCGCCCACAUUCGCGCUUAGGAUGCUGGCAUAA